UACGAAGGGGGCUAGCGUUGCUCGGAAUUACUGGGCGUAAAGCGCACGUAGGCGGGUCGCUAAGUCGGGGGUGAAAUCCUGGAGCUCAACUCCAGAACUGCCUUCGAAACUGACGAUCUUGAGUUCGGGAGAGGUGAGUGGAACUGCGAGUGUAGAGGUGAAAUUCGUAGAUAUUCGCAAGAACACCAGUGGCGAAGGCGGCUCACUGGCCCGAUACUGACGCUGAGGUGCGAAAGCGUGGGGAGCAACAGGAUUAAGAA
rnacentral:rRNA from 1 species